rnacentral:rRNA from 1 species
CAAUAGCGUAUAUUAAAGUUGUUGCGGUAAAAAAGCUCGUAGUUGGAUUUCUGUUGAGAGCGACCGGUCCAUACCAUGUAUGCGUAUCUGGCUUGCUCUCGGCAUCCUCUCGAUAGACGUUACUGCGCUUGAUUGCGUGGUGCGGAUCUCGGGACUUUUACUUUGAGGAAAUUAGAGUGUUCACGGCAGGCUUUCGCCAGAAUACAUUAGCAUGGAAUAAUACUAUAGGAUCUUGGUUCUAUUUUGUUGGUUUCUAGAAUUGAGAUAAUGAUUAAUAGGGACAAUUGGGGGCAUUCGUAUCAACACGUCAGAGGUGGAAUUCUUGGAUUUUGUUGCGACGAACUACUGCGAAAGCAUUUGCCAAGGAUGUUUUCAUUGA